rnacentral:rRNA from 1 species
GAGACCUGUAUCCACAAUUGCUACCGACUUUCAGAAUCGGGCACAUUGUGGAGACUGCCUUGGAAACAAGGAGGAAGGUGCAGGCUACGAUAGGUCUGUAUGCUCCGAAUCUUCUGGGCUACACGCGCGCAACAAUGGUAAGAACAGUGGGAUACGACUCCGAAAGGAGAGGUUAAUCCUCCAAAUCUUAUCCUAGUCCAGAUUGAGGGCUGUAACUCGCCCUCAUGACGAUGGAAUCCCUAGUAAUCAGACGUCACAAGCGUCCGGUGAAUAU